rnacentral:rRNA from 1 species
UACGUAGGGUGCAAGCGUUGUCCGGAAUUAUUGGGCGUAAAGAGCUCGUAGGCGGCUUGUCGCGUCGGCUGUGAAAACCUGGGGCUCAACCCCGGGCCUGCAGCCGAUACGGGCAAGCUAGAAUUCGGUAGGGGAGACUGGAAUUCCUGGUGUAGCGGUGAAAUGCGCAGAUAUCAGGAGGAACACCGGUGGCGAAGGCGGGUCUCUGGGCCGAUAUUGACGCUGAGGAGCGAAAACGUGGGGAGCGAACAGG